rnacentral:rRNA from 1 species
CGAUUGAACGCUGGCGGCAUGCCUUACACAUGCAAGUCGAACGGUAACGGGCCUUCGGGUGCCGACGAGUGGCGAACGGGUGAGUAAUGUAUCGGAACGUACCUUUCAGUGGGGGAUAACGUAGCGAAAGUUACGCUAAUACCGCAUAUUCUGUGAGCAGGAAAGCAGGGGAUCGCAAGACCUCGCGCUUCCGGAGCGGCCGAUGUCGGAUUAGCUAGUUGGCGGGGUAAAGGCCCACCAAGGCAACGAUCCGUAGCGGGUCUGAGAGGAUGAUCCGCCACACUGGGACUGAGACACGGCCCAGACUCCUACGGGAGGCAGCAGUGGGGAAUUUUGGACAAUGGGCGCAAGCCUGAUCCAGCCAUGCCGCGUGAGUGAAGAAGGCCUUCGGGUUGUAAAGCUCUUUCGGCGGGGAAGAAAUCGCAUCUCCUAAUACGGGGUGUGGAUGACGGUACCCGAAUAAGAAGCACCGGCUAACUACGUG